ensembl:snoRNA SNORA70 Small nucleolar RNA SNORA70
UUGUAGCCAGUUAAGCGGACCGUGCUCUUUUCCCCAUGAAGGCCUGGUGCGCAAUGGCUGCAAACAGCAGCCUCCUUGGUAGUGUAUGCAGCCUGUUGCCUGUAUGGGUUGCCCUAAGGGGCCUUGGAGACAGUC